UACGAAGGGAGCUAGCGUUGUUCGGAAUCACUGGGCGUAAAGCGCACGUAGGCGGACUUGUCAGUCAGGGGUGGAAUCCCGGGGCUCAACCUCGGAACUGCCUCUGAUACAGCAAGUCUCGAGUCCGGAAGAGGUGGGUGGAAUUCCUAGUGUAGAGGUGAAAUUCGUAGAUAUUAGGAAGAACACCGGUGGCGAAGGCGGCCCACUGGUCCGGUACUGACGCUGAGGUGCGAAAGCGUGGGGAGCAAACAGG
rnacentral:rRNA from 1 species